rnacentral:rRNA from 1 species
UACGAAGGGGGCUAGCGUUGCUCGGAAUCACUGGGCGUAAAGCGCACGUAGGCGGCUUUUUAAGUCAGGGGUGAAAUCCUGGAGCUCAACUCCAGAACUGCCUUUGAUACUGAGAGGCUUGAGUCCGGGAGAGGUGAGUGGAACUGCGAGUGUAGAGGUGAAAUUCGUAGAUAUUCGCAAGAACACCAGUGGUGAAGGCGGCUCACUGGCCCGAUACUGACGCUGAGGCACGAAAGCGUGGGGAGCAAACAGG